rnacentral:rRNA from 1 species
UACGUAGGGUGCGAGCGUUGCCCGGAUUUAUUGGGCGUAAAGGGCGCGUAGGCGGCCACGCACGUCCGUUGUGAAAUCGCCCGGCUCAACUGGGCGGGGUCAGCGGAUACGGUGUGGCUAGAGCAAGCUAGGGGGCAAUGGAAUUCCCGGUGUAGUGGUGGAAUGCGUAGAUAUCGAGAGGAACACCAGUGGCGAAGGCGGUUGCCUGGAGCUUUGCUGACGCUGAUGCGCGAAAGCGUGGGGAGCGAUCCGG